UACGUAGGGGGCGAGCGUUGUCCGGAUUCAUUGGGCGUAAAGCGCGCGUAGGCGGCUCCGCAAGUCGGCCGUGAAAUCUCCGGGCUCAACUCGGAGGGGUCGGGGCGAGACUGCGGGGGCUCGAGGUGGGCAGAGGGCAGUGGAAUUCCGGGUGUAGUGGUGGAAUGCGUAGAGAUCCGGAGGAACACCAAUAGCGAAGGCAGCUCGCUGGGGACGGUACUGACGCUAAAGGGCGCGAAAAAGCGUGGGGGGAGCGAAACA
rnacentral:rRNA from 1 species